rnacentral:rRNA from 1 species
CUUGGCGACCAUAGCGUUGUGGACCCACCUGAUUCCAUGCCGAACUCAGAAGUGAAACGCAACAGCGCUGAUGGUAGUGUGGGGUCUCCCCAUGUGAGAGUAGGACAUCGCCAGGC